rnacentral:tRNA from 1 species
GCUUGGAUGAACCGGACUGGGUUCGGCAUGGACUUCAAAUCCAUGGGAGAUGAAAAUCUCAGGUGUUCGAUUCACCCUUCUGAGC